AGUUGCCACACUUUCCUGUGCAGAGAUAAUCACUAUUUCUAUCUUCGAUCCUCUUAUCAAGGAAUGAUGGUAUGUCGGGGUAAUUGGAAGCAUCAAGUUCAGAGGAAGCUUGCUACUGCCUUGAACGUCAGGAGGCUGUGCAGGAGGCUGAGCUCCAAGCUGAUCGAGAAAAAGAGUUGAAGGCUGUGCAGGAGGCUGAGCUCCAUAGGGCAGUGGAAGCUGCAGCAAGAGAAGCUGCUCUUGAACGUCAAAAGAAAGAAGAGGAGGAGAAGCUAAAGAAACAGUGUGAGGAAAGGACAUGAGUUUGCUUCCAACAGUUAAAACGUCCAGAAAUAAUGAAAUUGGGCCAAGAAAGAGCCACAUAAUCCUGAUAUGUCUACAUAUCUCAAAUAUUUCAUUUUAUUCUUGACUAUGGAAA